rnacentral:rRNA from 1 species
ACUGAAUCCAUAGGUUAAUGAGGCGAACCGGGGGAACUGAAACAUCUAAGUACCCCGAGGAAAAGAAAUCAACCGAGAUUCCCCCAGUAGCGGCGAGCGAACGGGGAGCAGCCCAGAGCCUGAAUCAGUGUGUGUGUUAGUGGAAGCGUCUGGAAAGGCGCGUGAUACAGGGUGACAGCCCCGUACACAAAAAUGCACAUGCUGUGAGCUCGAUGAGUAGGGCGGGACACGUGGUAUCCUGUCUGAAUAUGGGGGGACCAUCCUCCAAGGCUAAAUACUCCUGACUGACCGAUAGUGAACCAGUACCGUGAGGGAAAGGCGAAAAGAACCCCGGCGAGGGGAGUGAAAAAGAACCUGAAACCGUGUACGUACAAGCAGUGGGAGCACGCUUAGGCGUGUGACUGCGUACCUUUUGUAUAAUGGGUCAGCGACUUAUAUUCUGUAGCAAGGUUAACCGAAUAGGGGAGCCGAAGGGAAACCGAGUCUUAACUGGGCGUUAAGUUGCAGGGUAUAGACCCGAAACCCGGUGAUCUAGCCAUGGGCAGGUUGAAGGUUGGGUAACACUAACUGGAGGACCGAACCGACUAAUGUUGAAAAAUUAGCGGAUGACUUGUGGCUGGGGGUGAAAGGCCAAUCAAACCGGGAGAUAGCUGGUUCUCCCCGAAAGCUAUUUAGGUAGCGCCUCGUGAAUUCAUCUCCGGGGGUAGAGCACUGUUUCGGCAAGGGGGUCAUCCCGACUUACCAACCCGAUGCAAACUGCGAAUACCGGAGAAUGUUAUCACGGGAGACACACGGCGGGUGCUAACGUCCGUCGUGAAGAGGGAAACAACCCAGACCGCCAGCUAAGGUCCCAAAGUCAUGGUUAAGUGGGAAACGAUGUGGGAAGGCCCAGACAGCCAGGAUGUUGGCUUAGAAGCAGCCAUCAUUUAAAGAAAGCGUAAUAGCUCACUGGUCGAGUCGGCCUGCGCGGAAGAUGUAACGGGGCUAAACCAUGCACCGAAGCUGCGGCAGCGACGCUUAUGCGUUGUUGGGUAGGGGAGCGUUCUGUAAGCCUGUGAAGGUGUACUGUGAGGUAUGCUGGAGGUAUCAGAAGUGCGAAUGCUGACAUAAGUAACGAUAAAGCGGGUGAAAAGCCCGCUCGCCGGAAGACCAAGGGUUCCUGUCCAACGUUAAUCGGGGCAGGGUGAGUCGACCCCUAAGGCGAGGCCGAAAGGCGUAGUCGAUGGGAAACAGGUUAAUAUUCCUGUACUUGGUGUUACUGCGAAGGGGGGACGGAGAAGGCUAUGUUGGCCGGGCGACGGUUGUCCCGGUUUAAGCGUGUAGGCUGGUUUUCCAGGCAAAUCCGGAAAAUCAAGGCUGAGGCGUGAUGACGAGGCACUACGGUGCUGAAGCAACAAAUGCCCUGCUUCCAGGAAAAGCCUCUAAGCAUCAGGUAACAUCAAAUCGUACCCCAAACCGACACAGGUGGUCAGGUAGAGAAUACCAAGGCGCUUGAGAGAACUCGGGUGAAGGAACUAGGCAAAAUGGUGCCGUAACUUCGGGAGAAGGCACGCUGAUAUGUAGGUGAAGUCCCUCGCGGAUGGAGCUGAAAUCAGUCGAAGAUACCAGCUGGCUGCAACUGUUUAUUAAAAACACAGCACUGUGCAAACACGAAAGUGGACGUAUACGGUGUGACGCCUGCCCGGUGC